UGAGGAAUAUUGGGCAAUGCCCGCAAGGGUGACCCAGCAACGCCGCGUGGAGGAUGAAUGUCGUAAGAUUGUAAACUCCUGUUAGAGGGGAAGAAUAGUACCGGUUGGACCGGUAUAUGACUGUACCCUCAGAGAAAGCACCGGCUAACUCCGUGCCAGCAGCCGCGGUAAUACGGAGGGUGCGAGCGUUAUCCGGAUUUACUGGGUUUAAAGGGUGCGUAGUUGGGCUUAUAAGUCAGUGGUGAAAUCUCCGAGCUUAACUUGGAAACUGCCGUUGAUACUAGAGGUCUUGAAUUAUCUGGAGGUGAGCGUAAUAUGUGAUGUAGCGGUGAAAUGCUUAGAUAUGACAUAGAACACCAAUUGCGAAGUCAGCUUACUACAUAUAAAUUGACGCUGAGGCACGAAAGCGUG
rnacentral:rRNA from 1 species